CAUGGUUUCAGUAUCUACUGUUCUUGCUUCAGCUUUCCACAUAUAGGAAUUUCUAUGUAGUAUGGAAAAAGGAAGAAUAGCAUUCCAGUUAUUUUUGGCUAGUAUGUAACUUAAUUGCAUACCAGCUGAAAAAAAAAAACACGUGAUUUCUGAAUACCUUCUAUAGCUAUUCUGCUUCUUUCCUAGAAGGAGAAGGAGGAGGAAGGGGAGGAGAAAGACGAAGAGAUGGAGGAAAACUGAAAAUGGUUGCCUUGCUCUUCCUGCUUCCACCUCAAACCCUAAAAUGACAGUUCUACAGAUGAGGGACAUGCAGAAUGGAAGAGAUAAACGCUUGCUGACCAUCAGGAAAUGGACAUAAUGGCAUUUAAGGACUAAACAUCUUGUUUAACAGUGAAUUUUAUGUAUUUAAGCCUAAGGUAAUAUUAAGGUAACAUUUCCUGAAAUCUAUUGAGUAAAAUGUUAACGGUUCCAUAGUUUGAGAUACUGUGGGGCCUGCUAUACUUCCUUGGUGGUUAACAAUUCACACAAUGUUAUCAAGGAAAAAUAAUUUAAAAAUAAAAGACAAACAAAAACAAAACCCAAAAAACAAAAACAACACACACACACACACAACACAACUUAUUAUUCACCCCAAUAUAUAUUAGAUGUAUUUAAUCAAAACUAUUUCUUUGAAAAAGUAUUAUUAAUGUCUUAAAGUUUAAUACUGUUUCUAAGGACCCAAUAUAAGAAAUUCUGGCCUAGAAAAUUGUUACAACAUGACAUGUCAACAACUCCAAGAUAGUUUAGUACAAUCUGUAUACUAGAUAACUAACUAGAGCAAAGUGAUAAUGAAUGAGGUGAUUAGAAUUAAGAAACUCUCUGUAGAAGACGAAUCUUGCCAGUAAAGAAAAGUGUGAUAGUGGGAAGGAAAAGAUAGGGCAGCGGGAGAAUAGAAAUAGGGAAGAUGAACUUUUGCCUAAAUUCCGAG
rnacentral:lncRNA from 1 species